AGAAUCAACGCUGGCGGCGUGCCUCAGACAUGCAAGUCGAACGCGAAAGUCCCCUUCGGGGGGCAAGUAGAGUGGCGCACGGGUGAGUAACACGUAGGUAAUCUACCUUCGGGUGGGGAAUAACAACCGGAAACGGUUGCUAAUACCGCAUAAUGCAGCGGCACCUAAUGGUGACAGUCGUUAAAGCGGGGGAUCGCAAGAUCUCGCGCCUGAAGAGGAGCCUGCGGCGGAUUAGCUAGUUGGUAGGGUAACGGCUUACCAAGGCGACGAUCCGUA
rnacentral:rRNA from 1 species